UACAGAGGGGGCGAGCGUUGUUCGGAAUUACUGGGCGUAAAGGGCGCGUAGGCGGCCAACUAAGUCAGACGUGAAAUCCCUCGGCUCAACCGGGGAACUGCGUCUGAUACUGGAUGGCUUGAAUUUGGGAGAGGGAUGCGGAAUUCCAGGUGUAGCGGUGAAAUGCGUAGAUAUCUGGAGGAACACCGGUGGCGAAGGCGGCAUCCUGGACCGAGAUUGACGCUGAUGCGCGAAAGCCAGGGGAGCAAACGGG
rnacentral:rRNA from 1 species